GAUACCCUGGUAGUCCAUGCCGUAAACGUUGGGCACUAGGUGUGGGGCUCAUUCCACGAGUUCCGUGCCGCAGCAAACGCAUUAAGUGCCCCGCCUGGGGAGUACGGCCGCAAGGCUAAAACUCAAAGAAAUUGACGGGGGCCCGCACAAGCGGCGGAGCAUGCGGAUUAAUUCGAUGCAACGCGAAGAACCUUACCAAGGCUUGACAUACACCGGAAACUUCCAGAGAUGGUUGCCCCGCAAGGUCGGUGUACAGGUGGUGCAUGGUUGUCGUCAGCUCGUGUCGUGAGAUGUUGGGUUAAGUCCCGCAACGAGCGCAACCCUCGUCCCAUGUUGCCAGCGGGUUAUGCCGGGGACUCAUGGGAGACUGCCGGGGUCAACUCGGAGGAAGGUGGGGAUGACGUCAAAUCAUCAUGCCCCUUAUGUCUUGGGCUUCACGCAUGCUACAAUGGCCAGUACAAAGGGCUGCGAUACCGCGAGGUGGAGCGAAUCCCAAAAAGCUGGUCUCAGUUCGGAUUGGGGUCUGCAACUCGACCCCAUGAAGUCGGAGUCGCUAGUAAUCGCAGAUCAGCAACGCUGCGGUGAAUACGUUCCCGGGCCUUGUACACACCGCCCGUCACUUCACGAAAGUCGGUAACACCCGAAGCCG
rnacentral:rRNA from 1 species